AAAACAUUUUCAAAAAUUUCCCCAAAAUGUUGAAAAUGUGGACCUCAGAAAUUUCACUGUGGAUAUAUACAUUUUUUCCCCAUUUUCAAACUUUAAAACGGGUCAGUUUGACCCGCAGGACGACGCGAGGGUUAAAACAUUCCAAAACAGUCCUGAAAUAUGUUGGAUUUAAGCUGAAAAUAUGCUGGGCAGUAAAAACCAGCCAGAAUCACGUCCAGUUAGAGGAAUGUUGAUUAAAGUUUACACAUUUUUUGGUCAUUAUGUUGCAGUAGAUAAGAGUGUUUCUGCUCUAGCCCACUGAUAUUAAGGUGUUUUCAGUAUUUGUGCACCUUUUUCAGUUUGCAUUUCUUGUGAUUCUGAGAAUAUUGGAGUCUUUUGCAUGUCCUUUGUCUCACAAUCAGGCUUUGAAUGUUGGAUUUUGUGGAGACUUUGGAUGGUUUCAUGUUUUCCUGCAGCCUUCCAGUUAAAGUUCUGAAGUUGAGACGUAAAACAAAGCUCAACAUUACUCGUAAAUGUCAGUAGAAGACAGCAUGAAGUGCAGUGAGUGUUCUGUCCUCCAGCUGGCCUCUCCUGUCGCCAUACAUUCCUAUAAGCCUCCGUCUGCGCUCAGCUGCGCGGAGGAGGAGCGUUAACGGGGCCGGUAAGCGAGGCGGACAUGGCGGCGCAUAGUCCAGCGGAUUCCUGCCGGCCUUUUAGAGGCUGUUUGUCCGUUUGCAUGCUGCAGGAUGUUUAGAUGAAAGCACCGGGAGUCGUGGUUCGGAGAUGCCGCCCGCUCGGUGCGUAAAGCUGCCACUCGGUGUCGGAUGAAGUUUCCAGGCACAACUCCAGAACAGGGCGGCUGUUUCAGAGGAACUAAGGGAAGUUUAUUGCUGAUUUACGCACCAACUUCCAGCUGACCUUGACCGCAUCUACUGACUGUUAUCAGACCUGCAGGGAUUCACAGGGAGUUUCCAGACAAAAGGGUGAAACUUGCACCAAGUUAGUUUUAAAAAUACAGACUUUUAUUUCAUGUUGGUCAGAUUUUAUGAAGUUUCUUACCUUAAUCCAGGGGUGUCAAACAUGAAGUCCGCAGGUCAAAUCCGGCCGCCAGAGGGUCCAAUCCGGCUCUCCAGAGUGUGGACUUUGUGUAAAAAUAGUGUAAAAAAAAUGCAAAAAUUACAAAGAACACAUUAACUGCAAAUAUUACAUUAGUCAAACUGUAAAUAAUUUCUAGAUCUUGACAAAUAAAUCCUAAAGUACAACACUGUCAUUGUUGUCAUUUUGUGUCUCACUUUAGUAACAUUUUGUCUUGUUUUUGUCAUUUUUUUGUCUGACUUUUGUCAUUUGUCUCAUUUUUGGCAUUCUGUGUGUCAUUUUUGGAAUAUUUUGCCAAAUUAUUGUAGUUUUUUUCUCAUUUUUGUCAUUUUGCAUCUCAUGUUGGGAUUAUUUUGUCUUGUUUUUGUUGUUUUUUGUCUUUUUCUUUGUCUGACUUUUGUCAUUUUGAUCAUAAAGUAAAAUACUAUAUCAACCAGUUCCAGAUACAUGUGACUAAAUGUUUUGUUUAUCUGUAGACACUGUGAUCUCUAAGUUCUAAUGUGUAAAUGAUAAACUGAGGCAUAAUGUUGUUGAAACUGAAUGUAAUUUUCUUAAGAAAUUUCAGGUUGUUCAUGAUGUUUUGUAAAAAGAUAAUUCCUUAAAUGUUGUUGUGCUCUGAUUUAACUGGUCUGGCUCACUUGAGGUCAAAUUGGGCUGAAUGUGGCUCCUGAACUAAAGUACGCUGCUGCUCGUCUCUGGACUUGCUGUGUCCACAGUUGCAGCUCCUGCGCCUGGAUUAAAGCCCUGCUGAUAUCCCUGGUGUCCCGCUGCUUCUGUGAACAACACUGAACAUCAGAGCUGCAGCACCCAGUUAAUGCUGGAUGGAAACACUUUCUGCUGCCAGGAGACCACUUCAGCUCGCUGCCACCCAGGACCACCCAGUAGAUAUGGAGGCUCCACAGCUCAUUACUGUACGGUGUUCUGCAGAUUUAGAUCUGCUGUGUUUAUCUUCAUGCAGGUGAUUCAGAGCCAAGAUGCUGCAGGAGGAAUUCAAGUGUCGAUUUAGCUUUAAGUGUUAAAUCACACAAUCUGUUGUGUUUAUUACUGUGUUUGAAGAACCGUCUAGUCUGUACAUGAAACAUGCAUCAAAUCUGAAUGUUUUCUGUGAAAACAUGAAGGAAAGACAACCAAAAAAAAUAAGGAA
ensembl:lncRNA